rnacentral:tRNA from 1 species
GCCCUUGUCGUUCAACGGACAGGACACGGAGCUUCUAACUCCGGAAUCGAGGUUCGACUCCUCGCGAGGGCA